GGGCAGACUCGGCGAUGCCGGAGGCUCUUUCUCCUGUCCUGCUCCAGCCUAAGCUUUCAGCAGGCCCCGUGUGACGUCAACAAAGAGGAGGACCGUUCAGCUUUGGGAGAAAUUCUGAGUAAUUCCAAGCAAUUAGCAGCAAGCAGUAUAGCAGUGGCUAAAGACUUCUUUUGGAUGCACUCUGAGCUGAAAUCGCAGCUGUCAUCUGGCUACAGUGGGAUUUUGAGCAAGUGACUCUGCCUUUCUGUACUGGCUUCUGUUCCAUUUCUUAUCUUGUACAAUUACUGAGAUGUAGAAGUGAGGUGUGUAUGAAUCACUCAGCACAGUUUCUGUAGUAUAACCUUGCAAAACCUAAAUGUGGUUUUAGUAACAUUAGAACAGUGUUACAUGAUCAUUUGUAACAUUUCAAGAUUGUAACAUUGCCUUUUGGAGUUGAUAAUGUAUGUAGAUGUAAUACAAAUAAUAACCACAGCAUAAAGGAAAGGAAUCAUGACAUUGUCAGUAUGAUGAUUUAUCCAAAGAUAUGCCAUCUCUGAUCACAGCUACUGAAUUCUUUUCCUGCUCCCUGUAGACUUGAGUUUCUCCCUUUAUAUUUUCCCCAAGAGGACUAAAAAGAAUUUGGCAGAGUUCCAAGUGGGUAAAUGCCAGUCUCUUGGAAGACAGAAGGGGCAAGAUGUGUGGUGGUGGGUUGAAGGUCUUACCAAAAAAUGUGCACAGUGAGGAAUACGAGAUACGGAGCUAAAUGACUUUACAGUCUGAGUGAGUGCCUAUGGUACCAAAUUGUAACACCUCUUAGGGAUGGUACUUGAACAAAUAUCUACUAAUAAAUGAUUAGCAUGUACUUUGCCUUUCCAUAAAAGGAAUCUUGUUAAAUGAAGUGGCCAGCUCUUGGGAGUGUAAUAAGACUUGGCAAAUCGAUGCCCUUCUGGAGAACAUAACUGCACUUUCUGGAG
rnacentral:lncRNA from 1 species